AAUAGGCUAAUUAAGAGCGUAAGGGGAAUGCCUUGGCUCUCAGAGGCGAAGAAGGACGUGAUAAGCUGCGAAAAGUUGCGGGGAGUGGCACAUACAUUUUGAUCCGCAAAUGUCCGAAUGGGGGAAACCCGGUUAUUUGAAGAAUAAUCAUCCAUUUAUGGAAGCUAACCCGGAGAACUGAAACAUCUAAGUACCCGGAGGAAAAGAAAACAAUAGUGAUUCCGCUAGUAGUGGCGAGCGAACGCGGAAUAGCCCAAACCUAAAUUG
rnacentral:rRNA from 1 species